UCUGUUACACCACUGCCCUUCAACCAGCCGAGGCAAUUCCCUGCUUCAGUGUGGAACGUAACUGCUGCAGAGCUGAGCACCUCGCUGAAAAGAGGGAUUAAUUCACUUGUCAGCCAUGAAGUCCUACAAGUAGUUUUACUGACACAGCUGGUCUGGUGAUGAACCCCAGUUCAGUAAUCCUAGAGCUGUGUAGCAGUUGACAGCAGACAUAACUGGAUGUGAUUUAACAGCAAAUUAGUGAUUUAACUUCAGCAUAUAGAUCUAAUAUAUUUUCAGAAUGGUAAGUCUUGU